UACGCAGGGACCAAGCGUUGUUCGGAUUUACUGGGCGUAAAGGGAGCGUAGGCGGCAAUUCAAGUCAGUUGUGAAAUCUCCGAGCUUAACUCGGAACGGUCAACUGAUACUGCUUUGCUAGAGUACAGAAGGGGCAAUCGGAAUUCUUGGUGUAGCGGUGAAAUGCGUAGAUAUCAAGAGGAACACCUGAGGUGAAGACGGGUUGCUGGGCUGAUACUGACGCUGAGGCUCGAAAGCUAGGGGAGCAAACGGG
rnacentral:rRNA from 1 species